ACAGAGAGAGAGAGAGAGAGAGAGAGAGAGAGAGAGAGAGAGAGACACAGAGAGAGAGAGAGACAGAGAGAGAGAGAGACACAGAGAGAGAGAGAGACACAGAGAGAGAGAGAGAGAGAGAGAGAGAGAGAGAGAGAGAGAGAGAGAGAGAGAGAGAGAGAGAGAGAGAGACACAGAGAGAGAGAGAGACAGAAGGAGGGGAGAGAGAGAGACACAGAGAGAGAGAGAGAGAGAGAGAGAGAGAGAGAGAGAGAGAGAGAGAGAGAGAAAGGGAGAGAGAGAGUGAGGGGAGAGAGAGAGAGAGAGACACAGAGAGAGAGAGAGACAGAG
ensembl:lncRNA